ensembl:lncRNA
GGGCAGGGCGGGGAGGCGGGGUCCGGCGGCCGGGGGCGGGCCGCGGCGGGGCGGGGCCGAGGCGCGGCGGCGGGCCGGCCGCCAUCUUGGAGUCGGGCAAAGGGGAGGGCAGGCGCGGCCUCGCGGGGGCUGUCGCGCGCCGAAGCAUCCUUCGCAUGCCCAGGGCGGCGUGUUGCUGUUUGUCGCCCUGUGCCAUCGUGAAGGAGGAAACUCCGAAAAUCUGGUUUAUUUAUUCACAACAAGGCUUUGUCCAGGUCGGAGGCCGCAACAGCCGGAAAGCACAAGCCCAGGGAGACCUGGGAGUCAUCUCUGGGCAAAAGUAGUGGGUGAAGCAGCCUUCGGUGUCCGCCCACCUCCUCCUGGUGAUUUUUCAGUUGUUAGCUGGUGGCACCUUGUUCUGCCACAAGCCCAGCUGGGCUAGGGCGGCAGGAUAUCUUGCCGAGAGACUCAAGAAACGACCGGGAGACUGCGGACGAGACAUACAGAUUUAUUGGGACUUUCUUACAGGGAGAAUGUCCGGUGGCGGCCGGCUGGACGGACAUGUGCACCCCCAACCGCCCCCUAAGAGAAGCUUGCUUAAGUAGGCGGAGGAACAAAGGAUGCAUGCUUGCUAAAGGGCUGUCCUUGGUGCGACCAGCGUCCCCAGGAACAGUAGCUCACGUGGAGGAGCUCUGUGUCCCUGUAAGACGCGAUGUUCUUCUCCUGGGAUAAGGGAGAGUCCGGGCUGGCCAGGCCCAGAUCGUUACAAAUCCCGGUAGCUGGGCUGCCUGCCCAGAAGGGAGCCAGAAGGACACAUGGUUGCAAUGGGCCUGGGGGUUUCUGCUGAGCAAGCAAGGCCCCAGCCCUACACAACUCUUUUCUCUGGCGCCCUGCCCGAAACCCUCUCUAGUGACUUGGACGUAUCUAUUUAGAUAAAGGGGACUUUGAAAGACCCCAAGCUCCCUUUGCUGUCAUCACAGGCACUGUAGUAGAGGGACCAGUUCCUCAUUGAGAGGCAGGCUCCGAACUGCGAAAACGCAUGGUGAUCUGCGUCUGUUUGGAAGCCUGAACCAGCCAAGGGGCUUUGACGAGGCUCCUGCCCAACGUGGAUAUGAGGAGACCCUCAGAAUGAAGAUGGUGGCAUCAGCACAUACAAGUGGUCAAAUCUACGGUGACCUUUUAAUGAGGAAAUUUGGAAAAUGUCCAGCGAAACCGUGUUUCCCCUAGGCCUGGAAGGUACCUGAGAAAACCCCAGUCUCCUCAGCUGAAAAUAGGGCAUGUUCAAAGGAGGAGGAUGGUCUGGAGUCUAGAAAGUGGGGAGCCGAAGAACAAGAACUGAACUGAGAUCUCAGGCCGUCUUUAGGAGUUUCAGCAGGAAGAAAAUGAAGAUAUAUCUGUUCAAUAUGACAUCUUUCUCUGGAAAUCAGUCCUAUUUCUG